CACGUAGGGCGCAAGCGUUGUCCGGAAUUAUUGGGCGUAAAGAGCUCGUAGGCGGUCUGUUACGUCUGCUGUGAAAACCCUGGGCUUAACCCUGGGCUUGCAGUGGAUACGGGCAGACUAGAGGCAGGUAGGGGAGAAUGGAAUUCCCGGUGUAGCGGUGAAAUGCGCAGAUAUCGGGAGGAACACCGGUGGCGAAGGCGGGUUGCUGGGCCGACACUGACGCUGAUGCGCGAAAGCCAGGGGAGCGAACGGG
rnacentral:rRNA from 1 species